AGCUGAUCCCUUUCGCUGUAUGGCGUUCUUGUUUGGGUUGGGCGUCGGCUAAGAGUGCUCGGAGCGUGGAUUAACUCCAGUCUCCUAUUAGGUGUGUAUUUUCUCGCUACUCUAGCUGUAGGAUGGCUACUUCGGGCCGCGAUGGGCCGAAAGGGGUCAUGUGGGCCUAAUGGGCCUACGGGCCCAAUUGGAUAAGUUGUUUGAUUGUGUAGUAAAUAUUGGACUAGGUUAGGUGAAUCUCAUAUUUGUGGCUAGAUUUGGGCUAAAAGGGCCACACGAGCGUGUGGGCCCAUUUGGGCCGAGAAUAGGCUUUAGGCCCAUUCAUAUUGUUAUCCCUGUUUAGAAUAUUUUAGUUUACCAAAUUACUGCAAUGCCCUCGAUUUGUAGAAUUACCAUUUUACCCUUGAUUUAUAGAAUUACCGUUUCACCCUUGAUUUAUAAAAUUACCAUUUUACCCUCGAUUUACAGAGUUAUCGUUUUACCUUCGAUUUACAAAAUUACCAUUUUACCCUCAGUUUACAAAAUUAUUAUUUUACCCUCGAUUGUGAAAUUACUAAAAUACCCCUGUAAGAUAGAAUUACUAAAAUACCCCUAGUUUGUAAAAUUACCGAAAUACCACUGGUUUGUGAAAUUACCGAAAUACUCUCAAUUUGUAAAAUUACCAAAAUACCCCUAAUUUACAAAAUUACAAAAAUACCCUUAACUUUCUAAAAAUUAUAAAAAUACCAUUGGUUUACAAAAUUACUGAAAUACCGUUGGUUUGUAGAUUUACCGAAACACCCUUGUAGGAUGAAAUGACUAAAAUACCCCUAAUAGGUAAAAAGACCGUAAAGCCCCUGUAGGGUAAAGUGACCGUAAUACCCUUGCAUGGUAAAAUGACGAAUAUGCCCUUAUGUUCCGUAUGACUGAUGUGCUUAGGAUUUACAUAUAUUGAUAUUGGAAUAGUUAAGUUUGAGUGACAGGUGGUGGUUAUCAUAAGUGAUUGAUUAUGGAAACGUUUCAACUUCAACCCGUAACAGGUGUGUACUAACCCUCGUAAUAGCUUAGAUUAAUAUUUGUUGAGAAGCUGAAAUGCUAAAAUACCGGUAUUUCGGGAACUUGUGAUUCUGCCUUUGCUUAAAGUGCGAUAGAUACGAUAUGAUCGGUGGUUGGAUCGAUGGAGCAGGUAAGAGCACAAUUUUGUGCACGAUGGUAAGUUGGGCCUCAAUGGGCUGGAAUUGGGCCCAAUGGGCUUUCGGGCCCAUUUGGGUAAAAUUGAUAGAAAAUGGAAUUUGGAAAAGUUGCAUGAUAACACGGUUAGUACUGUUGUAAAAUUUGGAUUAAGCAGGCUUAGUGGGCUAAAUCGGCAUUUGUAGGGCCCAUUAGAGGUUUUGGGCCCAAAAGCCCAAGUUUGAUAAAGUGGGUUAAAGAUAAUUGUUUAAACACUCGAAAAUAUUGAUAAUUGUUGAUGAAUAUGGAAAACCCUGAUAUUUGGUAAAAUUAUGAAAUUACCCUUAUAGUAUGAAAAUGAUUGUUUUGCCCUUAGGUAAAAAUGACCAUUAUACCCCUAGGGUUUAAUUAUAAAUUUGAUACGUGGGAUAUGAUAUACAUGAUUGAUAUGAUAUGCACUUGAUAUGUAUAAAAUGCACAUGAUAUGUAUGAAAUGCACAUGAUGUAUUCAUAAAUGCAUUGGGUUGGGUUUUUAUAUGGAUGGAGGAAGUGCAAAAGGGCUUAUGCCCCAGUUUAUUGAAAAGGGCUUAUGCCCUAGUUUACCGAAAAGGGCUUAUGCCCCAGUUUAUUGAAAAGGGCUUUGCCCCAGUUUACCGAAAAGGGCUUUGCCCCAGUUAUUAAAAGAGGCUAGGCCUCCAGAUAUAUGAUAAAGCAGUUAUGCUGCCAGUGGUGUGUUGGUUGGGUGGGUUGAAUCGUUCCCUACAUGGUGUGUUGGUUGGUACGGGUGGAGAGUAGCGGAUGGUGGGUCGAGUAGUCUCCCCAAAUGGGAUUGCAUACAUUCAUUGGUAUUUCAUAUGAUAUUGAAAUGGGCUUGCAUACAUCCAUUGACAUUACAUGUGAUAUUGAAAUGGGCCUAUAGGCCAUACCGUUUACAGUAAAGGCUUCGACCCAGUGAAAUGAUUUAUGAAAAGGCUUUGGCCCAGUGAUAUGAUUUAUGAAAAGGCUUCGGCCCAGUAACCGUUAAACGAAAGGCUUCGGCCCAGUAUAUGUCAAGACUAAAUAGGGCUUUGGCCCAAAUUGUACUGAUACUGUGUUUUCACUAUUUGUAUGUUAUUGGGAUUACACACUGAGUUUUCGUAAACUCACCCUGUUUCUAACUGUGCAGGUAAUCCCUAAGCUUAGAUGGUUUGGAGCUGCGAGGGACUCGGAGAUGGCCACACUACUGUUUCUGUUUCUUUUAAAUGCAAUAAGUAGCCGAUUUAUUUCUUUAUAAGUUUUGUCUUAUUAAUAUUAUUAUUUGGUUUUGGGUUGUAAUAAGGCCAUUUUAAUUAUUUUUCUGGG
rnacentral:lncRNA from 1 species